rnacentral:rRNA from 1 species
GAUGAACGCUGGCGGCGUGCCUAAUGCAUGCAAGUCGAGCGGACGAAUCGAAAGCUUGCUUUUGAUUCGUUAGCGGCGGACGGGUGAGUAACACGUGGGCAACCUGCCCUGUAGACGGGGAUAACACCGAGAAAUCGGUGCUAAUACCGGAUAACACGAAAUGUCGCAUGACGUUUCGUUGAAAGACGGCGCAAGCUGUCGCUACAGGAUGGGCCCGCGGCGCAUUAGCUAGUUGGUGAGGUAACGGCUCCCCAAGGCGACGAUGCGUAACCGACCUGAGAGGGUGAUCGGCCACACUGGGACUGAGACACGGCCCAGACUCCUACGGGAGGCAGCAGUAGGGAAUCUUCCGCAAUGGACGAAAGUCUGACGGAGCAACGCCGCGUGAGCGAAGAAGGCCUUCGGGUCGUAAAGCUCUGUUGUUAGGGAAGAACAAGUAACGCAGUAACUGGCGUUACCGUGACGGUACCUAACGAGAAAGCCACGGCUAACUACGUG